AUUAAUGUUUUUACUCAACAUUUGUGCAGUUUUUGGAGGAUUUAUGAUAUAUUUUAAAUAUCUAUAAAUAAAUAAAUACAUAUUUAUUUAUCAUUGGACUCAAAAUAGACAAAAUUCAUCAUUUUUUCAUCAGAAAUAACGCAGAACACAGACAGAAAUGACAGAAAUAAAGUGGCACACUUCCAACAAGGCAAAAAACAUCCACAAUCCAAAAUUAUCAUGCUCACACACCCGCACACACACACAAACACACACAUAUAGAGGAAUACUAUAUACAGGAAUACAUACAGACUAUAAAAACUGUUCUCUUAUCAUUUGUAAAAUAAAAUAAUCUAAAAUGCAGAACCACCGCAAAAAUAAAUUGGUAACACUAAGACACAUUGAAAAUGUGCACACACACACACACACUCACACACAGGAAUACAUUUGUAAGGCCAUAAAAAAGUCUUAUAAUUUAUGAGACCAACUAUUGUUCUAUUGUUCCAAACUAUUGUUCCUAGUUGUUCGAUUUUCUUCCCCAUUUACUGUUUUUUUUUUUUUUACAAA